UACGAGGGGGGCAAGCGUUGUCCGGAUUUAUUGGGCGUAAAGAGCGUGUAGGCGGUUUGGUAGGUCCGUUGUGAAAACUCGAGGCUCAACCUCGAGACGCCGAUGGAAACCAUCAGACUAGAGUCCGGAAGAGGAGAGUGGAAUUCCUGGUGUAGCGGUGAAAUGCGCAGAUAUCAGGAAGAACACCCGUGGCUAAGGCGGCUCUCUAGUACGGUACUGACGCUGAGACGCGAAAGCGUGGGGAGCGAACAGG
rnacentral:rRNA from 1 species